CGCGGCCUAUCAGCUUGUUGGUGAGGUAAUGGCUCACCAAGGCGUCGACGGGUAGCCGGCCUGAGAGGGUGACCGGCCACACUGGGACUGAGACACGGCCCAGACUCCUACGGGAGGCAGCAGUGGGGGAUAUUGCACAAUGGGCGAAAGCCUGAUGCAGCAACGCCGCGUGAGGGAUGACGGCCUUCGGGUUGUAAACCUCUUUUAGCAGGGAAGAAGCGAAAGUGACGGUACCUGCAGAAAAAGCGCCGGCUAACUACGUGCCAGCAGCCGCGGUAAUACGUAGGGCGCAAGCGUUAUCCGGAAUUAUUGGGCGUAAAGAGCUCGUAGGCGGUUUGCCGCGUCUGCUGUGAAAUCCCGAGGCUCAACCUCGGGCCUGCAGUGGGUACGGGCAGACUAGAGUGCGGUAGGGGAGAUUGGAAUUCCUGGUGUAGCGGUGGAAUGCGCAGAUAUCAGGAGGAACACCGAUGGCGAAGGCAGAUCUCUGGGCCGUAACUGACGCUGAGGAGCGAAAGGGUGGGGAGCAAACAGGCUUAGAUACCCUGGUAGUCCACCCCGUAAACGUUGGGAACUAGUUGUGGGGUCCAUUCCACGGAUUCCGUGACGCAGCUAACGCAUUAAGUUCCCCGCCUGGGG
rnacentral:rRNA from 1 species